CAUGUAGGCGGUUUUUUAAGUCUGGAGUGAAAAUGCGGGGCUCAACCCCGUAUGGCUCUGGAUACUGGAAGACUUGAGUGCAGGAGAGGAAAGGGGAAUUCCCAGUGUAGCGGUGAAAUGCAUAGAUAUUGGGAGGAACACCAGUGGCGAAGGCGCCUUUCUGGACUGUGUCUGACGCUGAGAUGCGAAAGCCAGGGUAGCGAACG
rnacentral:rRNA from 1 species